CUUGCCCCACCUACCCUGUCAUCUUCCACCAAUCCUGCCGACGACCAGCUGCCGCAAACCUCAACGACCCAGGCAGCGGCACCACCAGCAGUAGCACGCGGUGCGCGGUGGCGAGACACGAACAACACUAGCAGUGGCAUCUCAGAGCGUCAAUAUCACGCUAUGGCCGCACGAGCAACGGAAUCUCCCUGCGACGGGAUCCUCUUCCCUUUGAUCGGAUCCAACAAUUCUGACGGGAUCCACCUCUCCUAAAGCCAGGUACUCAACCAUAGCAAAAGUGAUUCAUUCUCUGCACUAAGAUAAGAUGUUAAGAACUCAAUUGGACAGACUACCAGUUAUUUGAGGAAAAUCGUAAGAAGCUCUCUUGCUUGCUUCUUUUAAGUAGCACGUUUUACUUCUUUUAAACAACACAUCCAUACAUACGGAGUUGGCAAGACUUUUCUGAAAUGGAAACUGUAUUGAAUAAUAUGCAACAACUGUAUUCUUUUUUUUUUGACUGCUAACAACUGUAUUCUUCAAUUGAGCACGACCUAUUAUGUAACUGUAUAGAACAAUUGGAGUGUAUAAUUCUGGCAUGUUGAAUUUUUUGUUUGUUCCAGGUGCCUUACAGCACAAGUUGCAAAAUUGCAUUGUCAAUAUUUGAGGCCUGGCUGGAAAUAUAUGAUUCAGCAGUCAUAGUGUCAUUACCAUUGUCGGUGAUGCUCACAUGAGAUCUCUUGGUGGACCAAAACUCCCUGGAACCCUCCUGAGCAACCUAGCAUUAUGUGUGAAUGCCAAUCUUUUGUAUGUCAAGGAUUUCUAGGCAAGCCAAAACUGGUGUGCUUUUUCAGUCAUAAGGAUGCAUCAAGCGAAGAAAAGGUUGUGAUGGUAUCCUGAGAAGCAACCAAUAAAAUGUGAUUGCUGUACAACUUUGAUAUUAGCCUUUUUUUGCGGAUAACUUUGAUAUUAGCCAUUGUUAUGAAUUGUUACACUUGUAGCCGGAGAACUGUGGUUCGCUCGAAAUACACCAGCACGAGCCAUGAACAGAUCGCGAUAUUUCAUUAUGCUUGAAAAUCAGACACCGCUCACCUGUAUAAAAUUCAAUCAUGUAUAACAGUUCUACUAAGGAUUUGAGGAAGCAUGGUAUAUGCUAAUUAAAAACUUUCACGUGUUAGCUUGUGCAACCAGAAAAUGCAUUUCUACUUGACAGUCAUGAUAGUUUGUGCUGUUUCUCAUGCCCAUUUGAUGCUAAGAGCUUUUUUACUUAAGUGUGUGCAUGUGUAUGAGUUGGCGUUGCUGAACUAACCCCAUCCUGCUCGCGGACUUCUCUGAUCUGAAGCGCAAGGAGAUACCUCGGCAAGAUAAUUAUGGCUGUCCUCCUCAUAGCCAUGUGCAUCAUCAUGCUCACCCAGCCACCGUGCCAAGGGAGGAUUCCCAGUGGGGCAAGAUGAGAACUCUGAAUCCUCCUGCAAUAAGCUACAUAAACAUGAGCUUGCAGCAGUACUAGAGGAGGCAAGGCCUAGCUAGCUGUUGAACGGUCUGAAUUUUAUCAUGUCUCGUAUACAUUUAUUCUUUGGAAGAAACCGAUUGACCAUUAUGUUUGCUAUCGCUGAUGCUUUGUGGGUUUUCUUAUGCUUGGCUUUUGUUUCGACCAGAUUUUGUUCUUUGCUGGCAUAUGUUGUUGCAUGCAAAGGAGACGCUCAAAGGUCCUAUGAUCAUCACCCGUGAUCCAAUGCAAACAUAAGAUCUUUUUAUAUUUACAAAGAACCGCACAUUUCAGUUUCUAUUUUGUUUGGUUC